UGACAUGAAUACAUUUACACUUUUCUUCUUUUUGCAGGUUCUCACUGGAGCAGCAGCACGGACCUGGAAGAUGUCUCCAACUCUGAUCGGAUGUCUCCUCAUCUUGUUUCCAUAUCAAGUUAAGAGUACGACCUUUCAACAGUCUCAUCCAACGAUAGUCAACCCCAAGGACAGGGUGGAAUUUAGUUGCAGCCACGACAACAGUGAUCUGAGCGUUAUGCUCUGGUACCAGCAGAAAGGGGGCGGUCAGAUCAACCUGAUCGGAUACAGCUACUUUCCCAGCGAUCCAGUUUAUGAGAAUGAGUUCCAGGCUCGGUUUCAGAUGACGAGGAACGACAUCCAAACGGGAGGUCUGAUUAUUCAAAGCGCGUCUCAGUCAGACUCAGCUGUGUAUUUCUGUGCUGGCAGUACACAGUGAUGUGGUCUAAUGAGACCCCGUCACCAAAAACCUCACGCACAUCGGGUAAACUGCCUCAGUGUGAGAAAAACACUUUCAACAUUCAUCUCAGUUAAGACACAGGCAGAAGGGGUUAAAUAGUUUUCUUAAUCUGAUGCACACGUGCUUUCAGGGUUCUUGGUCCAUUAAUCUGUUUUUGUUUUUUUGUUUUUUUUUUAAUUGUGGGUCAAAUGUUUUGUCAUAUUAUUGUUAUAUAUUAUAUAUAAUGAUGGCAAACCCCAUCUCCUUAAUACAAAAACUCAGAGCCAACCAACAUUCAUCACAUUUACAUCAGAGCUAGAACUCGCCCCUCCCACCUCCUUAUCUGAUGUCUCUACCAGCCUGUACUGUUGACUUCACCUCUGCAAACUUUACUCAUUAGCAGCUGAUUCUCCAUCACUCAGUGUCAGUCAGAUCUCAAAAAAUCUAAUCCAACAAAUCAGCUUUUUAUUUAUGGACUUUUGAGUUUAUUUAGAAACAGACAAAAUGAUCUAUUUUCUGUUUUUCCUUUUUUUCUGUUUCCUGUCAGGUAAUAACACGAAUUAAUAUGA